GCUCGGUAGGUGAGGCUACCACGGGGAUCCGGAGAGAUCCAAAGAUCGCUGCCGCGGAAUUGUGGAGACACAAUGAGCUGGUCAACAGGCUGCGUCGAUUCAAGGCGCCGCUUAACGCGAUUACAACGCCCCGUGAUGCUGAAGCUUGGACGAAAG
rnacentral:sRNA from 1 species